GUCGGUAAAACUCGUGCCAGCCACCGCGGUUAUACGAGAGGCUCAAGUUGACAGACAUCGGCAUAAAGAGUGGUUAGGAAGUUUUUAAACUAAAGCCGAACGCCCUCAGAACUGUUAUACGUACCCGAGAGCAAGAAGCCCCACUACGAAAGUGGCUUUAUACCCCCGACCCCACGAAAGCUGCGAAACAAACUGGGAUUAGAUACCCCACUAUG
rnacentral:rRNA from 1 species